GCCAGUGUGGCCUAGUGGUUUGAGUGUUGGAUUAUGACUCUGGAGACCAGGGUUCGAUUCCCAACUCAGCCA
rnacentral:tRNA from 1 species